rnacentral:rRNA from 1 species
AUGGGCAAGCUCACCUUCUCCGACGAGGCUCUCCUUCUCCGACGAGAGGCUCUUCGUCCGGUGCUGGUGGACGUACGCGGCGUCACGAUCGAUGCGCGCUUCCUACGGGAUGGUGAGUCCGUAGACAUCGGAGACAUCGUAUCUUUUUCUUGCCAUUUUGCGAGGGUCCGAGAUCGAUUGCCGCCGUCGAGGCCAGUGCCGUGCCGACGCGGGCAUCGAUCAACAAGGAUGCGGCACACGGGCGGUACACGGCACGGCGUGCAAGCGCGCCGACGCGGGCUGAUGCGGGCCCGAGCUCCCCCACCUACCCAUCCAUGGCGGAUGUGCGACGCGUGGGGGUGCAUCCGAUCCUCCAUUCCGAGCCAGGGGUUCGCGGUGAGAGUAUAA